AACGAACGCUGGCGGCAUGCCUAACACAUGCAAGUCGAACGAGACCUUCGGGUCUAGUGGCGCACGGGUGCGUAACGCGUGGGAACCUGCCCUUAGGUUCGGAAUAACUCCCCGAAAGGGGUGCUAAUACCGGAUAAUGUCUUCGGACCAAAGAUUUAUCGCCUUUGGAUGGGCCCGCGUUGGAUUAGCUAGUUGGUAGGGUAAAAGCCUACCAAGGCGACGAUCCAUAGCUGGUCUGAGAGGAUGAUCAGCCACACUGGGACUGAGGCACGGCCCAGACUCCUACGGGAGGCAGCAGUGGGGAAUAUUGGACAAUGGGCGAAAGCCUGAUCCAGCAAUGCCGCGUGAGUGAUGAAGGCCUUAGGGUUGCAAAGCUCUUUUACCCGGGAUGAUAAUGACAGUACCGGGAGAAUAAGCUCCGGCUAACUCCGUG
rnacentral:rRNA from 1 species